GACGUAGGAGGCGAGCGUUGUCCGGAAUCAUUGGGCGUAAAGGGUGCGUAGGCGGGUCUUUAAGUCAGGGGUGAAAUCCUGGAGCUCAACUCCAGAACUGCCUUUGAUACUGAGGAUCUUGAGUUCGGGAGAGGUGAGUGGAACUGCGAGUGUAGAGGUGAAAUUCGUAGAUAUUCGGAAGAACACCAGUGGCGAAGGCGGCUCACUGGUCCGGUACUGACGCUGAGGUGCGAAAGCGUGGGGAGCAAACAGG
rnacentral:rRNA from 1 species